rnacentral:rRNA from 1 species
AGGCAGCAGUGGGGAAUAUUGCACAAUGGGCGCAAGCCUGAUGCAGCGACGCCGCGUGAGGGAUGACGGCCUUCGGGUUGUAAACCUCUUUCACCAGGGACGAAGCGAAAGUGACGGUACCUGGAGAAGAAGCACCGGCCAACUACGUGCCAGCAGCCGCGGUAAUACGUAGGGUGCGAGCGUUGUCCGGAAUUACUGGGCGUAAAGAGUUCGUAGGCGGUUUGUCGCGUCGUUCGUGAAAACUUGGGGCUUAACUCCAAGCGUGCGGGCGAUACGGGCAGACUUGAGUACUACAGGGGAGACUGGAAUUCCUGGUGUAGCGGUGAAAUGCGCAGAUAUCAGGAGGAACACCGGUGGCGAAGGCGGGUCUCUGGGUAGUAACUGACGCUGAGGAACGAAAGCGUGGGUAGCGAACAGGAUUAGAUACCCUGGUAGUCCACGCUGUAAACGGUGGGUACUAGGUGUGGGUUCCUUUUCACGGGAUCCGUGCCGUAGCUAACGCAUUAAGUACCCCGCCUGGGGAGUACGGCCGCAAGGCUAAAACUCAAAGGAAUUGACGGGGGCCCGCACAAGCGGCGGAGCAUGUGGAUUAAUUCGAUGCAACGCGAAGAACCUUACCUGGGUUUGACAUAUCACUAGAAAGCCAUAGAGAUAUG